GACCUCGUGGUGUUGAGUUUGCCGAAACCUUGCGGUGGUGGUUGAUGCUGGCGGUCUUGCUACUCAACUGGCAUUAUAUUCAAUAAUGUUUUUUUAUGGGGCCUAGAUUGCUGUUCUAUCGGUUUGUCCAUGAUGUGCUUAUUUUUUGGGCUUGCUCCUUUGCAACUCGUGCCAAACGCUUGGAGCAUUUUGAUGGCAUGUUGCGUCGUUUGGAGGCAAGUAUUGGAGACUAUUGGUGAGGAUUUACCAGAUCUCACAGCGAGGGAGUUUCUUUCUACCCAUGGGGUUCGCCAAAUAGAUGAGAGAACUUAUGUAGUUUUUGAUCCCACACCGGUAACCAAGUGGUGCAUUUGGAAUGUCGAUAUUCUCAAGCUAAGGAGUGGUAAUGGAAGUUCUUUUUCAUUUCUGUGAUGAUUGGGAAUUUUCUUUGAGUGAGGUUGCUCAUCGUGAGUUCUCGAUUCAAGCGGCGUGGGGCCCUGCUCCUAACGAUCGCGAGUUUGCUAUUAUCCUUUUUGAUCGAGAGGAGGCUCGUCUGUGCCCGGUGUACGCUUGGGUGGAGCAAAACGACAGUUCCAUUUGGUGAGACGUUUUUCUGAACCGUGCCAAUAUUCAUAGGUUUGUGGUUUCACCUGGGCAGGGCCAUGUGUUCUAUCCCCAAUUUUUGAGCACCUCUUCCUUACCUUGGGAGCAAAAGAGGGGAUCCUCGGCUACAGAGGAUCGUAAAGGGAAGAAAGCGAAAACCCAUGGCAAGGGGCGUGAAGUCCUACUUAAUCGCCUUGAGCAAGUGGGAAAGGAGCUAGAGGAGGUAGGCAUCGCAGCUCCAAUUAUGCUGCUCGCCUCACCAAGUCAAAGGUAAACCGAUGGGAACUAGCUAUUCAACUCAGCAUUUCUCUCUGUUCACACAUGGAUGGAUAUGUUCUUGUUUUAUAUGUUUCA